rnacentral:rRNA from 1 species
UACGAAGGGGGCUAGCGUUGUUCGGAGUUACUGGGCGUAAGGGGCGCGUAGGCGGCGCACCAAGUCAGGCGUGAAAGCCCUGGGCUCAACCCGGGAAUUGCGCUUGAGACUGGUGUGCUUGAGUACGGGAGAGGAUAGUGGAAUUCCCAGUGUAGAGGUGAAAUUCGUAGAUAUUGGGAAGAACACCGGUGGCGAAGGCGGCUAUCUGGACCGUAACUGACGCUGAGGCGCGAAAGCGUGGGGAGCAAACAGG